AUUGAACGCUGGCGGCAGGCCUAACACAUGCAAGUCGAGCGGAUGAAGGGAGCUUGCUCCUGGAUUCAGCGGCGGACGGGUGAGUAAUGCCUAGGAAUCUGCCUGGUAGUGGGGGAUAACGUCCGGAAACGGGCGCUAAUACCGCAUACGUCCUGAGGGAGAAAGUGGGGGAUCUUCGGACCUCACGCUAUCAGAUGAGCCUAGGUCGGAUUAGCUAGUUGGUGGGGUAAAGGCCUACCAAGGCGACGAUCCGUAACUGGUCUGAGAGGAUGAUCAGUCACCCUGGAACUGAGAAACGGUCCAGACUCCUACGGGAGGCAGCAGUGGGGAAUAUUGGACGAUGGGCGAAAGCCUGAUCCAGCCAUGCCGCGUGUGUGAAGAAGGUCUUCGGAUUGUAAAGCACUUUAAGUUGGGAGGAAGGGCAGUAAGUUAAUACCUUGCUGUUUUGACGUUACCAACAGAAUAAGCACCGGCUAACUUCGUG
rnacentral:rRNA from 1 species